UACGAAGGGGGCUAGCGUUGCUCGGAAUUACUGGGCGUAAAGCGCACGUAGGCGGUUUCUUAAGUCGGGGGUGAAAUCCUGGAGCUCAACUCCAGAACUGCCUUCGAUACUGGGAGACUUGAGUUCGGGAGAGGUGAGUGGAACUGCGAGUGUAGAGGUGAAAUUCGUAGAUAUUCGGAGGAACACCAGUGGCGAAGGGCGGCUCACUGGUCCAUUACUGACGCUGAGGUGCGAAAGCGUGGGGAGCAACAGG
rnacentral:rRNA from 1 species